rnacentral:lncRNA from 1 species
GGAGGGCUGUCCAGGUGUUGCUCUGUUUCUCUCUUUAAAUCAAACCAAAGCAAUAAAUUUAGUAUCAGAAGUGGGAGGUUUCUGCAUCAUUAAAGACUUUUCUUUUAUUGUCUCUAGCUGUGUGCUUCCAGGAACACACCAGCUGUUUGUGAGCCUCCUACUGCGGGAAGGACACAAGUUUGCGGCUCUGGCAAUUACUGAAGAGGCUUGAAAAGGGGGAAAAUGUAAGACAGAUUUAUCAGCAUCUUGUCAAGUCCAGGCACUUACUACAUCUAGGAAAG